AUGGCGCCGGUUGACAAUUCUCCGGCUGGAAAUAUGAGCGGUUUUGAGUUAAUUUGCUCGUAUAAAUCCAACGAUUCGAUUUUUGUGCAUAAAUAUAAGUCAAUUAACACUGGAAUUACAGUGCUUAUUGCUGAUGUGGAUGGUCCACUUGUGUGUGGUUAUUUUUGCCUCGCAACGGAAGCUUUUGAUGACGAUGGAUUGCCGCAUACUCUGGAGCAUCUCAUCUUCAUAGGGAGUGAAAAAUACCCAUACAAAGGUGUUUUAGAUUUAUUGGCAAACCGAUGUCUUGCAUCUGGUACCAAUGCAUGGACAGAAGUCGACCACACUGCUUACACUAUGAAAACAGCUGGUUCUGAAGGUUUUCUCAGUUUGAUGCCUAUAUAUCUUGAACACAUUCUCUAUCCUACCCUAAAGGACUCUGCAUACAUUACGGAAGUCCAUCAUAUCACAGGUGAAGGUGAAGAUGCAGGUAUAGUUUAUUCGGAAAUGCAAGGUUGUAUCAAUACUGGGGAAACGUUGACACACACGGAACUUUUAAGGGCUGCUUAUCCAGGAAAAUGUGGCUAUAAAUCUCAAACCGGAGGUGAUUUGCUAAAUUUGCGAGACAGCACUUCCAACGAGAAAGUUCGAGAUUACCAUAAAGAGUGUUACAGGCCUGAAAAUCUGACUGUUUUAAUCACGGGUCAGGUGAAACACGCGGAUGUUUUUAAAGCGCUUCAUACGAUUGAAGAAAAAAUCUUGUCUAAGGGUCCUAGAGGUGCAUUUAAAAGACCUUGGCAGGAAACAGUGCCUCCAUUGACUGAUGAUGCCGAUUUGAACGUUUAUUAUCCAUGCGAUGACGAAGAUAACGGCCUCGUAUUUGUUGGUUGGCGAGGACCUUCUACUGUUUACGAAUUUUACGAUCUCACGGGUUGCACAUUAUUAUUGAAGUACCUAACUGAUACUUCAGUUAGUCCUCUGCAACAGGAAUUUGUCGAGAUUGAUGAUCCUCUUGCAAAUAACGUCGGAUAUGGUGUUUGCGAAAAUUCCGUACCUCUCUUGUACCUCAAUUUUGAUAAUGUGCCAAAGAAUAAGGUUCCUUUGAUUAAAGACCGUUUGAGUAAUGUUUUAAAGGACAUUGCAUCGAAAAGAGACGGUAUCGAGAUGCAGAGAUUGGGCACCGUUAUCCAUAAGUACAUUCUUGAGAUUUUGAGCAAUUUGGAAAACAGUCCUCAUGAUACUAUGGCUUUUAUCCUUAUUGGCGAUGUUCUUUUCGGGAAGACUAACGAAGAUUUAAAUCAGAGGUUAAAUCAAAUCGAGAUACUUAAGAAGCUGAUGGCAGAACCUGCCAGUUACUGGUUGACUCUUCUGAACAAAUAUUUCGUGAAUGCACCAGUUGUUGUUUCGAAAGGAAUUCCAAGCAUAGAGAAGAAAUUGGAGAUGGCUAAGAAGGAAAAGAAACGAAUAGAAAAGCAAGUGGAAAAUUUGGGAAUGGAAGGUCUUGAGAAGAAGAAACGAGAACUGGAAGAAGCGAUUGCAGAAAAUGAGACACCAGUACCUGAUGAACUUUUAACAUCUGUGCCAAUUCCGAGUACAGAAUCUAUUAAUUUCCAUCACAUCAAAAGUUUCUCGACUGACUCUUUAGAGCAGCAUCCUCGAUUCGACAUCAAUAAACUACCUCUCUAUACAUAUUUAGAUCAUGCAAAUACUAAUUUCGUUUAUAUGUUUGUUACCAUGGACACAUCAAAAGUACCUGCAGAUUUAAGACCAUAUGUGCCUCUUUUACUCGAAACGAUUUUGGUCUGUCCAGUUAAUCGAGAUGGAAAAUUAAUUCCGUACGAAGAAAUCGUUACUGAGUUAGAAUCCGACACUGUGGGCGCUAAAAGUGGAUUAGGAUUAGACAAUAAUUGUAGAUUCUCGUGUGGUACUUUCAGUCAGGCAGCUAACUUAAUGCUCCAGCUCGAAUUGUCGAAAUACGCCAAAGGAGUCAAGUGGAUUAAAGAGUUGUUGUAUCAAACAGAAUUCACAGCAGAAAGAUUGAAGGUCACUGCAGCAAAAAUUAUCAAUGAAGUAGCACAAAUAAAAAGAAGAGGAAACAAGAUUGUAGCCGAUCUUAUUAAAGGAUUAAUAUAUAAAAAAGAAAGCAAUCAGUAUAUGUCGAGUUUGCUUCGACAGCAGAAAUUCCUCACUAAAUUAAUUGAGCGAUUGGAAACCGAGGAAGGUCAGAAAGAAGUCAUAGCGGAAAUGAACACCGUGAGGAAGAUCCUGACUUCGACAAAGUCGAUGGCUCUCUACAUCGCAGUUAAUGUCGAUAAAUUAGUAGCUCAAAAUCCAGAUGUAUAUUCGCCUUGGAAGAAAUGUUUUUCUGACAUUGAAAAUUCGGCCAAAUCAAAGUUGAUAAUUGUCCCAGAUUACUCGCUAAUGAAAACUCCGGAUCAGAUUUCAUUGAAUGGCUGCGUAACAGGAUUGGGAUGUAUCGAAUCAGCUUUUUUGGUUCAGUGCACUCCUUGUAUCAAAGAAUAUCUGCAUCCGGAUUUGGCCCCGUUGCUUGUUUAUCUUCAGUAUCUUACGCAACUGGAGGGUCCUAUGUGGAAGAAAAUUCGAGGGCAAGGACUUUCGUAUGGCUACAGUAUAUUCACAAAACCAAAUGAAGGUCUUCUCUAUUUGUCAUUGUACAGAGCGACGAAUGUAGUUGGCGCUUAUAAAGAAGCAAAAGCGAUUAUAGAGUUGUAUCUCUCGAAAAAUAAAUGGAAUUCAACUUUAUUCGAUUCUGCAAAAUCGUCGCUGAUUUUCGAAAUGAUCAAUAAAGAAAAGUCCGUGCGAGACAUGGUUACGCAAAGUUUGUUAUCCUACUUUAAAAAUGUUCCUCAUGAUUACAAUCGUCAAAUGAUAAAGAACAUAUCAGCUGUUACACUCGAAGAGAUUCAUCGCGUUGUUCCUCAGUAUAUUAAAAAACUUCUAGACCCCAAAGCUUGUAAAACUGCAGUUGUUUGUCAUCCUGACAAGGCUCCUGAAGUUGCUGAAGCUUUCAAGGAAUUCGGUCACGACUUGAAAGUGUAUAAUUCUUUGGAAGAAACCUACCUCAAUGAAUGGUGAACAACGUGAAAGUAAAAUUAUUGCCGGUUUUGUGAGAUUUCAUGUAAAUUUAAGAAUAUUUGUCAUAUCAGAGAUGCAAGUUCUACACUAGAGUAUUGACGGCCUUAGGAGGAUCAAGUAGACCCUAAAAGAUGAAAUCCAAGCCGAUGCGGAAGAACGGACCGAACUCAUGAAGGAAGUUGAGAGAAUGUCCUGAAAGAUACACGAGCUCAAUGAGAGCCUCACAAAGAAAGCCGUUGCACUUCAAGAUUACGAGCGCAUGAGAAAUGAGGCCGAAGGCGCAUACGAGAAGAUUCUGGAAAACUCGGAGAUGUUGCUCAACAUGGUAAAGAGAGAGGCGGCUAGUCUCGAUAAUACAUCACGCAAAUAACGAGAUGUGAUCUCAAAACGACCAUAAUGUGUAGCAAUUUCAAUAGCAGGUCAUUUUUUAUAUUAUACGGUUAUUCUGGUACA